ACAGCUUCUCUUGUUUGUGUAACUGCGGAUUUGUUUUAGGUAAGUCCCCCUCCCCUCCCUGUGAAAGCGCCCGUGGAGCCCACCGUGUACAUGUCUGAAAAGGGGAGGUAACUUUUUCCUGAGAUCCCACCAAUCACAAAAAGAACAAAAGGCUUCCAUGCUGGACCUUGCCUCCUUAUCUGUGCAGCUGCAGCCUGAGUUUUCCCCAGGCUGCUCUACUUGUGCCUGUAGCUGUGAUUUUUCAGCUGUUUCUCCAAGGACUAGCCUUAGCCGUCUACCUAACUUUUUGCUUUCCUUCUCCCUAAAUUGUAUGGUGGAUGAAACAAACAAACAAACAAAAAACAGAUUUGGCAAGGCUGUUCAAAGUUGUAGAGGACACAAUUGGAGACAUUGGUUAUGUUUCCAAGGCUUUGACUGAACUGGCAUAUUUUCAGAUAUAAACAGAUGACUUCGAGGAAUUCAAAUUGACUUUAUAAGGUGAUAAAAGACUCUUGGAAGGACUAGUCUCAUACCUUGUCUAUGCAAUUUUUUUUACAUCUCUUGACUUGUGGUAAGAAAAGAAUGUCAUGUUCUGACAGGCCCAGGAACCUCAAGUUAUUUUGGGACUUUGAGAAGAAUAGACUUCACCCAAUUCAUGGAGGUAUAUGCAGGCACAGAUAAAUCCUCUUCUAGGCUCUAGAGGCCUCUUAAAAGUAAAAUCUGUCAUUCUUUAUAAGAAAGCUCCAGUAAAGCCAAUUCAAAAUGAGCCUAUCAACCAAUAAUUAUUCUUGCUGUACUUUAUGCAAAUAAUCAGGCCAUACAACCACUAUAAUAACAGUCUUAUAUUACAACUUAUUUUGCAAAUAAAUGUUUUGACUAUGAUUUAUCUUCGGUAAAAAUAGGAAAAUAUAAAAAAUUACAUUUCAAAAUAAACUGUAGUACAACUGUUGUUAGAUUCUAGCCUUGUCUAUUGUUUUUCAGUUUUUAUUAUUUAUCUAUAAUUUAUCUGGACUACAUCUUGAAUUCUGUCCUGACUACAAGUCUCCAAACUAAUGUUUUAAAAUUAUUUUUCUCCCAUUUUUCUAACUUGGAAUCACUAGAAAUUAAAACCAUGCUUUUCUUAAAACCCUGCAAACUGAAGCUAGACAACUUGAACUUUGGAAGAAAUAACAGCAAUUUCAUGCCUGACUACUGAUGUACAGACUUCUUGUAAUAUAGCCUGAAUCUGUUUUCCAAGAUUGCUUUCCCUUUGUUUCUGUAAUCUGGUCUUGGUAGCCCCCUUUUUCUCUUUUUUCCCUUUCAUUCUUUCUUCCUUCCCCUUUUUCGCUCCUUGGGACAGAAAACUUGACAACCUCCUAGAAAUGAGCCUUCCUAGUAACGUGGAACCUAACCUCAUAGGAAUAAGCUAUCUAGCAACAAGGGAUCACAAAAAACCCAUAACCAGAGACUAAUAUUCUUCUACAAUGCUUUCUCCAAAAGAUUUUGAACAAUUGGGGAAAAUGUGGAAGAAAAUAAAAUCUCAGGAUCCUGAACUCACUAUGCUAAAGGGAAAGUUGAGUUUGGGAACUAAGUGAAACAAGAGACUACCUUCCUUUUUUUUCCCAAAUAGAUUACUGUAAUUUCACAUGCUUAUGUUAUGUAGAAUGUAGAUUUACUGAGCAUGAAAUGAAUGCAUAAUUGACUUUGUCCCACUCCCUCCUCUUCACAUGUAAAACAGACUCACUGAGUGCUAAUUACUACCCUCCUUCCUGUUUUUUUCUUCCCCUUCUGCUUCCUCUUUCCUCUUUAAACAUUGACAUUCCCAAAAUCCUCUCUGAAAAAAAGCACAGGGCACAGAUCCUACUGUGACUUGUGUUUGUUUUUCCCGGGCACAUCCUCAACCGUGGCAAAAUGAAUCUCAAAAUCAAUCAAGAUCUGCCUUAAUUACUUUUUUUACUUACACAGUAUAAGCUUAAUAAUAAAGCUUAAUAAAAAUAUUUCAAGAAAAAAGAAUUGCAGACCAGUAUCUUUCCUGGGCUUUGAUCCUAAAAUAAAUAUUGGAUAAUCAAAUUAACCAAUACGUUAUAAAAGGAUACACAGUAAUUAUCACUAAGGUUUCCUUCUCUCCAGUAAUGCAAGGAUGAUUUAAUAUUCACAAAUCAAUCAAUUUAAAUCACCAUUGACAUGGUUAGGCUUUGUGUCCCCACCCAAAUCUCAUCUUGAAUUGUAAUCCCCAGGUGCUGAGGGAGAGAACUGGUGGGAAGUGAUUGGAUCAUUAGGGCAGUUCCUCCCAUGCUGUUCUCAUGAUAGUGAGCGAGUUCUCACAAGAUCUGAUGGUUGUAUAAGUGUUUGAUAGCUUCUCUCUUGCUCAGUCACUUCUCUCUCCUGCCACCAUCUGAAGAAGGUCCUCCUUUCCUCUUUGCCUCUCACCAUGAUCAUAAGUUUCCUGAAGCCUCCCCAGCCAUGUGGAACCGUGAGUCAAUUAAACCUCUUUCCUUUAUAAAUUACCUAGGCUCUGGUAUUUCUUUAUAGCAGUGUGAGAAUGGACUAACACAGCCAUAUUAACAGAAAAAGUGAGAAAAAUAAUGUGAUUAAUAGAUUCAGAAAAAAGCAUUUAAUAUGUUUCUAUACCUAUUUAUGAAUGAAUAAUAGCUAGCUAGGAAUAUAAGAGAAUUUCCUUUAUAUAAUGAAAGAUAACUACAACAAACCUUCAGCUAACAUUACACUUAAUGGUGAAACUGUUAAUGCUUUUCCUUUGAGCUCAGUAACAAGACAAAAAUUCCCACCACUCUCAGUCCUUCUCUCCAAUGGUUGACUGGAGAUCCUAGCUUGGACAAUAAGCCAUGAGAAAGAAAUAAAAUGAAUAAAGAUGGGAAUGCAUUAAAUCAGUCUUUAUUUCCAGGUGACAUGAUUUUGUACUUAAAGAAUUAGAAAAAUUUACAGAGAAAUUAUUACAAUUAACAAGUCAAUUCAGCAAGAACCUGGAUUCAAGGUCAAUAUUCCAAAAUAGAUAAGAUGUCCAGUUUCAGUUUUAACAUACAAAGAGCUUGGAAUUCAUCAUCUCAUCCUAACACAAGAAAAAAGCUGAACAAACUGAAAAUCAAUGGUCUUUAUUAGACUCUUCAGAGAAUUAAAGGCACAGGGAAAACUACAACCCUGAAAUCAGCAGAGACGUGAAUAGAAAGGCACUGAGAUCAGCUUACUCGGAAUGAAAGUCACUGGUGUUAUAAAAUGGUAGGGACAUAUCAAUGAUAAUUUUGAUGGACUGCCAGAGGCUUCAUGUGAAUCAGCUUGAGAGUGAUAAACUCUUCAGAGCUGCAGUCUUAGAGAGACCCCACAAUUCCAUAGGUUUCACCUCCAGGAACCUUAUCAGCUUUUCAUAGUAAAGAGCCAAGAAAAAUCACUUCAUAUGUUUAAAAACAGAAGAGGAAAUGUAACCAUUUUUAAAUAAGCCCAGUGCAUUUUUCAUUAAAAAAAAAAAAACCUACUUUCUAGGAAAAAAAGAAAAAAAAAGAUAUAUAUAACCAGAACCUUAUCUUAUGUAGAUGGAAGGAAAAUGACCUAACUCCAGUCAUUUCUUGCUUUCCUGUCUCAUCUAAAGUGGUAAGCGAGAGAAAAAUAAGUAAGAAAAUGUAUGAAGGUCAUAAGUGUUGUGGGAUUCAGGAGAAUGAGAGAGAGACCUAGAGUUGAAACAGGAGAAUCUUUUAUUGAGUGCACUCAGGCCCAGCUGACUCAACGUCCAAAAGACUGGGCCCAGAACGAAGACAGCACUUGACUUUUAUACACACUUCACAAAAGAAGGUGGGCUAGCUUGAAGUAAGCUUACAGUGGCAUGAAAGCAGGGAUACAGAGGCAGGACAAAGAUGGUUAAUCAAAUUGUAACAGGUUCAUAACUCAGGAUUACACAUAACCAUUGCUAUGCAACCCAGAUGUCCAUUAUCUGGGUUUGCCUAGGCACAGGCGUAUCCUAUAACCUUCACUAUGGCGCCCAGGUGACUGUAACUGAGAUCUGCUCAGACGCUCAUGACCUUCACUCUACUGCUUAGAUAAAACAGAUUACUUGAAGUCACUAGUUACAGAGAACAGGAAUCUGUGAACUCAUUCCAUAAAACAAAGGAAAAUUUGUUUUUCUUCUCCUUAUGUUGAGAGAGUGCUGGGAGAGUCUCCAGAGCACAUUAGAUAAUAUUAUCAAGACUCUUCCUGGGUCUGGGCUGUGCCUGUUGCUGCCCCUGGGACAAAUCAGCCUAAUACAGAAAAACUUUUUUCUCUUUCUUUUUAAUUUUAUUUUUCUUUAAUUUCCCACCUCAAUAGCCUAUAGCCAAGGUACACAGGCCCACUAAAAGAGUGAGAAUUAAUCAUAAGAUUUUAGAAUGCUUUCUCUCCACAAUUCCUUACCACCAUCAAUAGAGCUCUAGUAUAAUAGCAUUGGAUUAUAGCUGAAAUACUUGCAAGUCUCAGACUCUAAUUAAUAAGCAGUUCUUAGAGAUAUUCAAAGAAAAUGGGGAAGAAAAAAACAAGGAAACUAUAGAUAUGUGAAGCCCUUGACACCUGCUGCUAUAGUAAACAAUAAUGCAACCCAACUUUUAGCCACAUUUGCAUAAAACCCACACUAAAAGCCUAUUUACCUCAAUUUCUAUUACCUCAUGUAUCAUGUCUGGCCUUUGACAAAAAAUUGCAAGGCAUGUUAAAAGACAAGAAUGGUUCAGGAGCAGUGAUUCACAUCUGUAAUCCCAGCACUUUGGGAGGCCGAGGCAGGCAGAUCACGAGGUCAGGAGUUCAGGACCAGUCUGUCUAACAUGGUGAAACUCCAUCUCUACUAAAAAUACAAAAAAAAUUAGCCAGGUGUGGUGGUGCACACCUGUAAUCCCAGCUACUCAGGAGGCUGCGGCAAGAGAAUUACUUGAACCUGGGAGGCAGAGGUUGCAGAGAGCCAAGAUUGCACCAUUGCACUCCAGCCUGGGCAACAGAGUGAGACUCCGUCUCAAAAAAAAAAAAAAAAAAAAAAAAAAAGACAAGAACAAAGGCAGUCUGAAGAGACAAAGCAAACAUUAAACUAUAUUCAGAUAAAACACAAACUUUAGAAUUAUCCAGCAGGAAAUUUAAAAUAACUAUGAUUAAUAUAUUAAGGACUUGGGUAGAAAAAAUAGACAAUGGACAAGGAUAAUAUAAGCAGAGAGAUGGAAACUUUAAGAAGCAAUAAAAAGAAAAUGCAAGAGAUAGUAAUAAUGAUAAUCACAACAGAGUAACAAAUUGAAGAAAGUCUUUGAUGGGCUCAUCAAUAAAUUGCACAUGGCCAAGGGAAGAAUUAGUGGCUUCUAGAUAUUUCUAGAUAUCUUCUAGAUAUUUCAAUAGAAAUUUCCCGAAGUAAAAUAUAAAGGGGGAAAAAUAAAAUAUCCAAAAAUGGUGAGAAAAUUAUUUUCAAAUAAUUUUUAUGCACGAUUGGAAUACCAGAAGGAGGAGAGAGAAUUAAGGAGAAGAAAUAUUUGAAUAAUGGCUGAGAACUUUCCAAAAUUAAUGGCAAACAUGAAAUCACAGACUCUGAAAUCUGAGAUAACAUCAAGCAGAAUAAACACCAAAAAAAAAAAUCUACAUUAUGUUCAAACUUCAGAAAAACAGACAGAGAAAAUCUUGAAAUAAGAGAGAGGAAAUAAAUCUUACCUAUAGAGGAAAAAAGAAUAAGAGUUGCAAUGAAUUUCUCAUCAAACCAAUUCAAGCAUGGGGAGAGUGGGGUAAAAUAUUUAAAGUGUUUAAAGAAAAAAAAAUCCACCAACCUAAAAUUCUCAUUUAAAAGUGAAGGAUAAAGACUUUCUCAGACAAAUAAUUCAUUGACAGCAGACCUACAGACUUGCUGUGCCAAAAUGUGUGUGUGUGUGUAUAAAAGAAGCUGUUUUGAUAGAGCAAAAAUAAUAUAGAUAGAAAACUUCAAUCUACAUAAAAAAGUAAAAGCAUCAGAAAAGAAUAAAUAAAGGUAAAACAAGAUAUUUUAUUUUUUACAUACUUGAUCUAAUUGUUCAAAGUAAUAACAGUGACAAAACACUGUGUAAUUAUAGCAUAUGGAUAAAUAAAAUAAAUGGCAAAAAUAUUAUAAAAGAUAGGAGGGAGAAACUGGGAAUACUCUGUUAUAAAGUACCCACAAUGCUCAUGAAAUUGUAUAGUGUUAUUUUAAAGUAGAUUACAAUUAGUUGUAAAUGUAUCUUGCAAGCUCUAGGAAAGCCACUAAAAUGUUUUUAAAAAGAAGUCUAAUGGGUGUGCAAAGAGAGGAGAGAAAAUUGAAUCAUAUAAAAUACUUAAUUAAAACUAGAGAAGCUAGGGAAAGUAUGAAAAAGAAGCAAAUUGCAAGGGUAAACAACAAAACAGUUAUAAACAUAGCAG
rnacentral:lncRNA from 10 species